GAUCUCAUUUCCUGGGUCUCAGAUCCAGACAGUGUUUAUGUGAAGCAGGGGAGAGCAAACGAUUCUGGUGUCUUUUAGAGUCUUCGUGCCUUUUGGGUCCAAGGCCAGCAAAGCAGAUGGAUCGAUCUUACCAGAGCCAUGACUGACCCACUCUGGUUGGCUGUACCCACCCCUAACACUCUUUCUUCUUCUUUUUAAAUCUUUUCUAUCCUCUAUUUUCUAUUACUGUAGCUUCAGUCUCUCUGGAACGUCGUAAGAAAAGAUAAAGGUUGAUAAUAAUGUGGGACCCUGGUAGAGUUGUAUCACUUGGGGCUCUGUAUCCCUGUUACUUCGAAUUAUAAGAAAGUUUUCUGCCAAUAAACAAGCGAUCCAUUUUUAGGGAAGUGUUGCUCAUUUGCAGGACGUCCUUCCUCUAUCUCAGCAUCAGGUUUUUCUGUGACUGGCACCGGCACGGUUGUCUUUAGGCACACUUGUGUGAUCCGUGACCAUCUCAGCCUGGCUCUGUCAUGACGUGUUGACUUUUCCCUUGACCCACACCAUGCCUCCGUGCGUAGAGGGACAAGCUGCUCCGGAGGCACUCCGCCUGCGUCGUGCGUAGUGCCGAGGAGGAAGAGAGCUGCCCGUCAGCCAGGCGACACCGGAUCACUGUGGAUUUCUCCCUCCUCACAGUCCCACCUCUGCCAGAGGAAACUUUGCAUGUUGCACCCGUGUUCUUCCCGCAAGAAGUACUGAGUUCUCUGAUCACCUCUUGACUCAGUCUGAGGGCUUCCUAGUUGGCCCCUAGCCUUUUACCACUAAUGACUCCUAUAUUUCUUAAAUAAAAACCAUCACACAUAUUAUUUGAACCUGCUCAUUGUAUAUAUAUAUUUUUUAAUUGACCACCAACACCUUGAAAAAAAUAAAAACCUUUUUUUCCUAUGAUUUUUUUUUCCACUUUGUAAUUGGC
rnacentral:lncRNA from 1 species